GACGAACGCUGGCGGCGUGCUUAACACAUGCCAGUCGAACGGAAAGGCCCUGCUUUUGUGGGGUGCUCGAGUGGCGAACGGGUGAGUCACACGUGAGUAACCUGCCCUUGACUUUGGUAUCACUUCAGGAAUCUGGGGCAAAUCCCGGAUAGGCGUUCCUGUUGAUUGGUGGGGGUUGGAAGGUUUCGGCGGCUGGGGAUAGACCCGCGUCUUAUCAGCUUGUUGGUGGGGGAGUGGCGUACCAAGGCGUUGACGGGUCGCCGGCCUGAGAGGGUGUCCGGCGACAUUGGGACAGAGAGACAGGCCACACACCUACGGGAGGGGGAGGUGGGGAAAAUUGCAGAAUGGGCGGAAGCCUGAGGCAGCGACACCGCGUGUGGAAGAACAGGCUUCUGGGAGUAUAACGCGUUCGCCGGAGACAAGGAGUGAGUGACGGUAAUGGGUAAAGAAGCAACGGCUAAAUACGUG
rnacentral:rRNA from 1 species